rnacentral:rRNA from 1 species
GCAUAGAGUGAGCGCGCCUUACGAACAUACCUUGGGCAGUAAACAAAGCGAACAGCGGUAGGCGUUAAGAGGAUAGACGAAAUGCGCAGCCGUGAUCGAACAGUCGCCGAGCUUCAAUCCUCGCUCAAAGAAUCCCGCCGGGUGAAUUUACUCUCGGACGAAGCGCCGAACCCUCUCUUAGCGCAGCCGCCAUCAGCCCCAAAAUCUACAACCAGACACUGGAGGAUGAAUCAUGUUUAGCAGAAACCGAAUGAUGGCCUUAGUCUGUCUUCCGGUUCUCCUCCUCGCAAGUUUGCUGGUUGGGCAGCAGAACAGAGAGCGGGCGUUUGCUAGUCCGAUGGCCGUCAGCAGGA